CGGGGAGGGCGNGGGCGGCCGGGGUGGGGCGGGGCUCCUAUCGCGAGAGGACCGAGGGAGCCGGGAGGAUGAGACUGAGCAAGGGGCAGUAUCGUAAGUCAACAAGGGGGAGGGGGUGUGGGGAGCAGAAUUCCUCUAUUUAUACGAGGCGAGACGAUAAUGGCACCCGCCCGGCGCGUCUAUAUAUACUACUCGUACACUCCCCAGACGACAUAUGAGAACGUGCAGGAUAAAAAUAUCUUCAUAUCGUUAUUAGACACGGACAGGAAAAAGAAAACACUACGCCUUACGUUCGCUGCACGCGUUCGUUCGUUCGUUCGCCCCAAACCCUAGAUCUGUUUCAAAACCUACCAUAUGUGUAUGUAUGCACGUAUCUCAACAAUUUUGAACACGGCGUGGGGAAACACGGCCGGAAAUGCAGAUCUGAAGCGGGGAAUCGGGCCCGUGGAAAGCCAGGGCCCCUUUUCAACCCUUAUGUGGAUCCUUUUGGGCAUGGAUAUACACACACAGAAUUCCUUCGCCCAGGGUUCGCAAAAAAAAAAAGAUGAA
rnacentral:lncRNA from 1 species